UACGUAGGGUGCAAGCGUUAAUCGGAAUUAUUGGGCGUAAAGCGCGCGUAGGCGGCUCCGCAAGUCGGCCGUGAAAUCUCCGGGCUCAACUCGGAGGGGUCGGGCGAGACUGCGAGGCUCGAGGUGGGCAGAGGGCAGUGGAAUUCCGGGUGUAGUGGGUGGAAUGCGUAGAGAUCCGGAGGAACACCAGUGGCGAAGGCGGGCUGCCUGGGCCUGGCCUGACGCUGAGGUGCGAAAACGUGGGG
rnacentral:rRNA from 1 species